CCUACGGGGGGCUGCAGUGGGGAAUAUUGCACAAUGGGCGCAAGCCUGAUGCAGCCAUGCCGCGUGUGUGAAGAAAGCCUUCGGGUUGUAAAGCACUUUCAGCGGGGAGGAAGGCGGUGAGGUUAAUAACCUCAUCGAUUGACGUUACCCGCAGAAGAAGCACCGGCUAACUCCGUGCCAGCAGCCGCGGUAAUACGGAGGGUGCAAGCGUUAAUCGGAAUUACUGGGCGUAAAGCGCACGCAGGCGGUCUGUCAAGUCGGAUGUGAAAUCCCCGGGCUCAACCUGGGAACUGCAUUCGAAACUGGCAGGCUAGAGUCUUGUAGAGGGGGGUAGAAUUCCAGGUGUAGCGGUGAAAUGCGUAGAGAUCUGGAGGAAUACCGGUGGCGAAGGCGGCCCCCUGGACAAAGACUGACGCUCAGGUGCGAAAGCGUGGGGAGCAAACAGGAUUAGAUACCCUAGAGUC
rnacentral:rRNA from 1 species